UGGGGGAUAUUGCACAAUGGGCGAAAGCCUGAUGCAGCGACGCCGCGUGAGGGAAGACGGUUUUCGGAUUGUAAACCUCUGUCUUCGGGGACGAAAAUGACGGUACCCGAGGAGGAAGCCCCGGCUAACUACGUGCCAGCAGCCGCGGUAAUACGUAGGGGGCGAGCGUUGUCCGGAAUGAUUGGGCGUAAAGGGCGCGUAGGCGGCCUGAUAAGUCUGGAGUGAAAGUCCUGCUUUCAAGGUGGGAAUUGCUUUGGAUACUGUCGGGCUUGAGUGCAGGAGAGGAAAGCGGAAUUACCGGUGUAGCGGUGAAAUGCGUAGAGAUCGGUAGGAACACCAGUGGCGAAGGCGGCUUUCUGGACUGAAACUGACGCUGAGGCGCGAAAGCGUGGGGAGCAAACAGGAUUAGAUACCCUGGUAGU
rnacentral:rRNA from 1 species